AGUUCCGAUAAUUUAAAUGAACCGUUCCUAUCGCUCUGAACGUGUGAAAACCGUUCCGAUUCCCUCUCCUUUUCUGAAAACUUGCACAAACGGUUUCACAAACUGAUCGUCUGAAAAUUCUCAUUCUUCGACUUUAUAUUCUGCCAUCUUCUUUUCUUUUCACAACCAUUCAAAAGCUCUCAAAAAUUCUCUCUGUUUAAGUUCUUCAAGUAUUCAAGUUUUAGCUGUUGCCAGGAAAUCAAGAAAUCUGGUGCGGCGCAAUUAGGAUCUCUAUCCCUGAGUUAAGCAUUAGUCAAGUUUACUACCAAGGAUUUGAGGCGAGGAGCAAGGAGAUGCGUGAUGGAUGUGUGUGGUGCUUAGGAUAUUUUAAUCAUGCUUUCUAUAGUGUUAUUAAAGACUCUUUAUGGGUUAAGGAAAAUUUGGGAUUUAAAGUUUAGUUUAUUUUGAUGGUAAAUUUUUAAGAGUUUCUAGUGAAUCAUAUUUGACUUUCUUAUAUAAUGUUAGGUACUUUGAUAAUUUAGUGUUAUGUUUUCUAUCUAAUGUGUAUGGUAUUUUUCUAAAAAUGAUAUUUGGUCGAUUUACUUUUGAUUAUUAGGUUCUCUACAGGGUUUUGAAAUUAGAUUAUUUGAGUUUGUUAAUAUUUUUACGAAAAUACUAUAUGAUAUUUAAUUAGAUCAAAGUUUAUAUUUAGGGUGUUACAAUCUAGCUAUGACUUUUGGCUCUACUAGCAUUUUGAGGUUACCUUUUGUAUGUACAUUGUAUAUGCCUCGAUGUAGUUUUUUGUUUAAUGUGAUAUGUAUAUAUAACGCGUAAUGUCUGAAAGGAUACUUGAAUAGUUUAUAUAUAAAUUAUGU